UCCUUAGUGGCUCAGAUGGUAAAGCGUCUGUCUGCAAUGCAGGAGACCUGGGUUAGAUCCCUGGGUUGGGAA
rnacentral:tRNA from 1 species